rnacentral:lncRNA from 1 species
UUUUUCUGUCAUCCCUACUCCCUACACCUUACUUUCUUCACCCUGCACCUCCUAUUAUUUUAAUAUUUCCAACUUUAAUCCUGUUAAAAAGAAUAUUUUGAUUUUUUAAAAAAGGUGAACCAUCCAUUUACCCAUCCAUUCAUAAAAUAAAGCAAACCUUAUACCUUUUUCUCCACUCUCCGCAUUUUACAUUUCACAUUUCAAAAUCCUACACCCUUUUUCCUCCCCUUCUUAUUCUUGGUGUCGAAUUUCAUAUCUGACCUUAUACACCCCACCUUUGUUUCUCCUCUCUUCUAGCAAUCCUCUUUGGUUUCUAGUUUGGUGGUUGCUUUGUGGUAUUGUUGUUUGGUUGUGUGGUGUUGUUGUGGUAGUGAGCUGUAGCAUAGCAAUUGUUUUCUUCAAGCAUUGUGUCCAGGUUAGUUGUUGUUAUUUUUCUUUGCGCUGCUCGUGUAUAUAAUGCAUGAUAAUUGUUUGGUACGCUUACUGGUUCGGAUUGAUUUGGGUUGGGGUUGCUUGAUCUGGAUUGGGGAUGUUGGAUGGGUUAGGGAACGAGGAUACGAAGGACGCCACCACUGCUUGAUCUGGGUUGGGGUUGCUUGAUCUCAAGCAAUGGAAGACGAUAUUUGUUUGUCUUGUAUGUCGUAUCCAUUAAGAACACAAUAUUAAAUGAAUUAACCAGGUGCACUGAAUCGGGAUGUGUCCAAAAUAGGUCACUUACUACGUCAGAAUCAUCCAAACAUCUACUUCUCUGGAUAUAUUUGUCUCUAUCUAACAACAUCAUCAACUACUGCAUUUCGGUUCUCGACCCUCUCAAAGAUCGUUUGUUAGUGUAUCUCACGUUAUACAUUUGUUUUAUAGUCGUCACGUCAUUUUCAUUAUGUUCUUUAAGAGUCAAAAGAAUAUUUGAGAACUUAACUUGACUCUUAGUCAUGUCAACAAGAAUUGACUGUUCAGCAGCAUUUAACCUCCC